rnacentral:rRNA from 1 species
UACGAAGGGGACUAGCGUUGUUCGGAUUUACUGGGCGUAAAGCGCGCGUAGGCGGAUCGCUAAGUCAGGGGUGAAAUCCCAGGGCUCAACCCUGGAACUGCCUUUGAUACUGACGGUCUGGAGAUCGGGAGAGGUUGGUGGAAUUCCGAGUGUAGAGGUGAAAUUCGUAGAUAUUCGGAGGAACACCAGAAGCGAAGGCGGCCAACUGGCCCGAUACUGACGCUGAGGCGCGAAAGCGUGGGGAGCGAACAGG